UAGGGAAUCUUCCGCAAUGGGCGAAAGCCUGACGGAGCAACGCCGCGUGAGUGAUGAAGGUCUUCGGAUCGUAAAACUCUGUUAUUAGGGAAGAACAAAUGUGUAAGUAACUAUGCACGUCUUGACGGUACAUAAUCAGAAAGCCACGGCUAACUACGUGCCAGCAGCCGCGGUAAUACGUAGGUGGCAAGCGUUAUCCGAAAUUAUUGGGCGUAAAGCGCGCGUAGGCGGUUUUUUAAGUCUGGUGUGAAAGCCCACGGCUCAACCGUGGAGGGUCAUUGGAAACUGAAAAACUUGAGUGCAGAAGAGGAAAGUGAAAUUCCAUGUGUAGCGGUGAAAUGCGCAGAGAUAUGGAGGAACACCAGUGGCGAAGGCGACUUUCUGGUCUGUAACUGACGCUGAUGUGCGAAAGCGUGGGGAUCAAACGGG
rnacentral:rRNA from 1 species